rnacentral:rRNA from 1 species
GUGCCAGCCGCCGCGGUAAUACGUAGGGUGCGAGCGUUAAUCGGAAUUACUGGGCGUAAAGCGUGCGCAGGCGGUUUUGUAAGUCAGAUGUGAAAGCCCCGGGCUCAACCUGGGAAUGGCGUUUGAAACUGCAAGGCUAGAGUGUGUCAGAGGGGGGUAGAAUUCCACGUGUAGCAGUGAAAUGCGUAGAGAUGUGGAGGAAUACCGAUGGCGAAGGCAGCCCCCUGGGAUAACACUGACGCUCAUGCACGAAAGCGUGGGGAGCAAACAGGAUUAGAAACCCCUGUAGUCC